GCCGGAAUAGCUCAGUCGG
rnacentral:tRNA from 7 species